CGUUACUAACACAUGCAAGUCGAACGAGAAUUCUUUAGCUUGCUAAAGAUAGUAAAGUGGCGAACGGGUGAGUAACAGGUGGGAAAUCUGUCUCUGAAUUGAGGAUAACAUUGCGAAAGUGAUGCUAAUACUGGAUAAUAUCUCUAAAGCUUAGGAGUUAGAGAUUAAAGGUGGCCUCUACGUGUAAGCUACUGUUUGGAGAGGAUCCCGCUUACCAUUAGCUUGUUGGUAGGGUAAUGGCCUACCAAGGCUGCGAUGGUUAGCUGGUCUGAGAGGAGAUCAAACAC
rnacentral:rRNA from 1 species